CACUCCACCACCUUUAAAGGACGUUUAUCACAGCAAAGCAAGGCCGCUGCACGCCGACGUGAUGUAUCGCCCCGGCUCGGCGCGAAUGAAUAGACUAGUAAUUAUCCCGUUAAAAGGGUAGCCAGACAAAGAGGGAGCCUCGCUGUAAUUUAAAUUGUUUUGUUUCCCCCCCGAGCAGUCCAAGCCUGAACGCUGACUGACAUCACGCAAUGGGGUGGGGGUGGGGGGGGGGGGCGGAGUGAACCUAUUUAUAGCCCGAGACAUUCAGCUAAUUGUAGAAUUUAAUAAGGUUUCUGGAAGAGUGGAUUUUCGAGGAGCCAGAGGCGUGCACGUCCUCUUCCUUGCCCUCAACAUCUUUUUCUUCAGCCCUGUAGUGGCGCAUGUCCCCGUAUUCCUUCCUCCACGCUUGACUUCCUCCUAUCUUCCAUCUCAUCACCCCACCUCCCCACCUCCCUUUUUUUUACUCCUUCCCCCUAUCACAUAAAAUCUACCUGGCACUAAUACUGCUCUCACUUUGCUAGCGUGACUCUGAUUGUGUGAUCCUCUGCAUGUCACAGCAGCUUAAGGUGUGUGUGUGUGUGUGUGUGUGUGAUUACCAAAAAAGGAUGCGUCCAAGUGUGUGUGCGCGCCCGCGGUCUCGUCUGCUGUGAGACGGGGGGUAAUUGAGCUCAGAGGGUUUUCUGUCUUGGGUGGCAGAGGGGAAAUUGGAAUCUUCAGAAUCCAUUAGCGAGGCCCUCCGACGGCCGCUCGGCGUGUUUGUGCGCGCUCGUUUGUUUGGUGACAAGAGGACGAGAGAGUAGGCGGAACGUGUGUCCAAACCCCGGCGGAGUCGGGCGAGGAGUGUAAAAAUAACGCGUCAAGUCACAAAUCAACUGCAAACUUUCUUGCUUGCUUUUGCAGCGCACGCGGCGAGAGACGUCCCCCCCCGGCGUGUUGGAAGAGAAGGAAGAUGAGCGAACAGCAGGUGAUGCGGCACUUGAAUGGUUAAGUCAGCUGCAUGCUGGAUCUCUGCAGAGGUGACAGAUGCUUCCUAUCCCACCCAGCACCACAGGGGAACAGGAUUCACUCAGCAUACCAAUGAGUAUACCCCCCCCCCACACACACACACACACUCCCACCUCCAGUGUGACACACAAACGCAUAAAUAUGCAUAUGCGGCUACACGCACAUAUACAUCCCAAUGCAUCCAAACACCUCACGCUUUAAUGCCUGCGCCAUGUACCUGCUGGGCAACAUAAAAGACGCCAUAUUUACGAGAAGGGUGUUGGUGCACAUUAUUGCAACGGCUUCCCGCUCCGGACAACGAGCAGAUGUGCACGGGCUCCCCUUCCAGCCAGAGUCAGGCAAGAUGUGAGCCUUUUUGUCUGCACAUAUGACCUGCAGAAGAAGGCCACUGCACAUGUACUGGCACACAUAUAAAUACACACAUACACAGCGAGUGCACACACAAGGCAACGGGCGCUCUAAAAGUGACAGCUGUCGCUAUGAUGGAGCACAGGGAGAAGGGGAAGUGAAGGCUAAGCCACGGCGCAACAUGGUGUCGAGGAGACCCGCUAUUCAUUUUCAGCUUAAUAUGUUCCAGCCCAUUGGAAAAACAUUGCGGCAUUUAAUGUGAGCAAUUUCAUAUGCGCGCACGCCACAACCCUCGCACUUCUCUCUGAAGGGCCCUGGAAAAAAUAAAAAAUGAAGAGACCGGAUUUACCCAACGGUUGAAUGACUUCAAAAAUAACACACGGCCAAGGGUGCGUAUGCGUGCGCGCAUCGACAUGCAUGUGUGUGUAUAUGUAUAUAUGUGUGUGUGUAUAUCGGUGUGAGCUUGUCGAAUGUUAAUUAUUGAGUUCCAUCUGUGUUUCCGUUCCGCCUCUCUGCACAUGUAAUCUCCAUCGUGGCAUCACUCCGCCGGGCCGAGAUGAUCACACUGUGAUGCCGUGUCAUGGAUGCAUAUGCAAAUAUAUGUUAGAGACAAACGGACACAUUUAGUGGAAUUGUUUUGCAGGCUGGCCCUGCUGUUGCAUUCGAAACAAAGCCUGAACGUGCAAUGCACAUCCAAUAUUACGAUUGUGGUCUUUUCCAGUUUUGCUCGUUGAACCAAUUUUGAUGGCCUGUCAAAUAAUAUGAAAUGGAUUCAUUCAACCGCCCCAAUAUUAGGUCCACCCGCACUAUCUAAUGAAACCCAAUCAGAGAGCUUCACCGCAAUUUCUUUGCCGCAAAAGUGUUCAUGUUCAUUUCUUUGAUUGAUACUGUCGAUAAUGUUUACAGUUGUCAUGCUGAGCGGCUCGGGUGGAGUUCUAAUCUUUCAAUAUCUUAUACAGGGCCAUGAAGGCGUAUGCCGUUCUUCACAGAGGAUAAAUAAUCUACGCCUUCAGUAGUCAAGGUUUCUACAUUUUAAGGUAAAUUCCAUUCAAGACAUUUGAACACCAUUUGAAAUAGAAUUUAAAAACAACUUCCCAGUUCCGUUAUCAUGAUUGCGCAGUCCCCGCGAGUCACUAACCAGUUUUGUUUUAAUUAUUUUGUUUGAGAUUGAAGGCUCUUUUGAUUUGAAAAUCAUAAAAUCCAAUUUAUUGUGGGAAUUUUUGGAAAGCUCAAUUUUAGACAUUUUAAUGCCAAUAAAUUACAUUUCCUAACGUUGACAGCAUGUCCCAUCAUUUGUCACCUGGCAGACAAGGCAAAGUUCUGCGUUUUGCUUUUAAUGACAUGUCAUUUCCCUUGUUUUAUGUUUACUUUGACUGCAAGCUCCAACGGGGAGUGGCAAUAAAACACCUUGAAGUCCCUUUCGGAGUCGUUUACAAUCUGCCAAACUGCUGCUUGUUGUGAAGGGAGUCAAGUUGCGUUCAGACGGAACCAC